AGGGAUCAUUACCGAGGAGGGGUCUCCAGGCCCGACCUCCAACCCCAUGUUACCUGUACCUAGUUGCCUCGGGGGCGACCCGGCCUUCGGGCGUCGGGGCCCCCGGUGGACCCUUAACACUGCAUCUGUGCGUCCGAGUACCACAUAAUCAAUCAAAACUUUCAACAACGGAUCUCUUGGUUCUGGCAUCGAUGAAGAACGCAGCGAAAUGCGAUAAGUAAUGUGAAUUGCAGAAUUCAGUGAAUCAUCGAAUCUUUGAACGCACAUUGCGCCCCUCGGUAUUCCGGGGGGCAUGCCUGUUCGAGCGUCAUUACACCACUCAAGCCUGGCUUGGUAUUGGGCACCGCGGUCCGCCGCGCGCCCUAAUGUCUUCGGCCGAGCCGUCCGUCUCUCAGCGUUGUGGCACACGAUCCGCUGGGGAGCACGCGACGGUCCGACGCCGUUCGAAACCUCUUUUUACUAGGUUGACCUCGGAUCAGGUAGGGAUACCCGCUGAACUUAAGCAUAUCAAUAAGCGGAGGAAAAGAAACCAACAGGGAUUGCCCCAGUAACG
rnacentral:rRNA from 1 species